AAACGAUAUUGGAAGCUUGCUUCCGAUAGGCGUCGACCGGCGCACGGGUGAGUAACGCGUAUCCAACCUGCCCACCACUUGGGGAUAACCUUGCGAAAGUAAGACUAAUACCCAAUGAUAUCUCUAGAAGACAUCUGAAAGGGAUUAAAGAUUUAUCGGUGAUGGAUGGGGAUGCGUCUGAUUAGCUUGUUGGCGGGGUAACGGCCCACCAAGGCGACGAUCAGUAGGGGUUCUGAGAGGAAGGUCCCCCACAUUGGAACUGAGACACGGUCCAAACUCCUACGGGAGGCAGCAGUGAGGAAUAUUGGUCAAUGGGCGAGAGCCUGAACCAGCCAAGUAGCGUGCAGGAUGACGGCCCUAUGGGUUGUAAACUGCUUUUAUAAGGGAAUAAAGUGAGCCUCGUGAGGCUUUUUGCAUGUACCUUAUGAAUAAGGACCGGCUAAUUCCGUGCCAGCAGCCGCGGUAAUACGGAAGGUCCGGGCGUUAUCCGGAUUUAUUGGGUUUAAAGGGAGCGUAGGCCGGAGAUUAAGCGUGUUGUGAAAUGUAGAUGCUCAACGUCUGCACUGCAGCGCGAACUGGUUUCCUUGAGUACGCACAAAGUGGGCGGAAUUCGUGGUGUAGCGGUGAAAUGCUUAGAUAUCACGAAGAACUCCGAUUGCGAAGGCAGCUCACUGGAGCGCAACUGACGCUGAAGCUCGAAAGUGCGGGUAUCGAACAGGAUUAGAUACCCUGGUAGUCCGCACGGUAAACGAUGGAUGCCCGCUGUUGGUCUGAAUAGGUCAGCGGCCAAGCGAAAGCAUUAAGCAUCCCACCUGGGGAGUACGCCGGCAACGGUGCAAC
rnacentral:rRNA from 1 species